GACGAACGCUGGCGGCGUGCUUAACACAUGCAAGUCGAACGGAAAGGCCCUGCUUUUGUGGGGUGCUCGAGUGGCGAACGGGUGGGUAACACGUGAGUAACCUGCCCUUGACUUUGGGAUAACUUCAGGAAACUGGGGCUAAUACCGGAUAGGAGCUCCUGCUGCAUGGUGGGGGUUGGAAAGUUUCGGCGGUUGGGGAUGGACUCGCGGCUUAUCAGCUUGUUGGUGGGGUAGUGGCUUACCAAGGCUUUGACGGGUAGCCGGCCUGAGAGGGUGACCGGCCACAUUGGGACUGCGAUACGGCCCAGACUCCUACGGGAGGCAGCAGUGGGGAAUAUUGCACAAUGGGCGGAAGCCUGAUGCAGCAACGCCGCGUGCGGGAUGACGGCCUUCGGGUUGUAAACCGCUUUCGCCUGUGACGAAGCGUGAGUGACGGUAAUGGGUAAAGAAGCACCGGCUAACUACGUG
rnacentral:rRNA from 1 species